UGGUGCGGCAGAGCAAGUUCCG
rnacentral:misc_RNA from 1 species